rnacentral:rRNA from 1 species
CCUACGGGAGGCAGCAGUAGGGAAUGUUCGGCAAUGGGGGGAACCCUGACCGAGCAACGCCGCGUGAAGGAAGAAGUUAUUCGGAAUGUAAAGUUCUUUUAACAGGGAAGAAAGAGAAAUUUGACGGUACCUGAAGAAUAAGCUCCGGCUAACCACGUGCCAGCAGCCGAGGUAAUACGUAGGGAGCGAGCGUUAUCCGGAAUUAUUGGGCGUAAAGGGUGCGUAGAUGGCAUAGUAAGUCUUUUGUAAAAGUGCUGGGCUCAACCCAGUAGGGCAAACGAUACUGCAAAGCUAGAGUAUGACAGAGGCAAGUGGAACUACAUGUGUAGCGGUGAAAUGCGUAGAUAUAUGUAAGAACACCAGUGGCGAAGGCGGCUUGCUGGGUCGAUACUGACAUUGAGGCACGAAAGCGUGGGGAGCAAACAGGAUUAGAUACCCUGGUAGUC